GUUGUAUGGUUAAGUGAUUAAGCGUAGACGGUGGAUGCCUUGGCAGUCAGAGGCGAUGAAGGACGUAUUAACUUGCGAUAAGCCCAGAUAAGGCAGUAAAAGCCAUUUGAGUCUGGGAUUUCCGAAUGGGGAAACCCACCUGCAUAAGCAGGUAUCUUAGCGUGAAUACAUAGCGCUAAGAGGCGAACUCGGGGAACUGAAACAUCUAAGUACCCGAAGGAAAAGAAAUCAAUUGAGAUUCCGGCAGUAGCGGCGAGCGAACCCGGAGCAGCCCUUAAGCGGCUUAGGCGUUAGGUGAACAGGUUGGAAAACCUGGCAAUAAAGGGUGAUAGCCCCGUAACCGACGGCGCCUUAGGCGUGAAAACGAGUAAGACGGGACACGUGAUAUCUUGUCUGAAGAUGGGGGGACCAUCCUCCAAGGCUAAAUACUCCUGACUGACCGAUAGUGAACCAGUACCGUGAGGGAAAGGCGAAAAGAACCCCUGUGAGGGGAGUGAAAUAGAACCUGAAACCGUCUACGUACAAGCAGUGGGAGCCCCAUCACUAAGACACUUCAUCUUAGUGAGACGCUAUCACUUUGUUGAUUGGGUUAACCACGCGCAGCGUGGGUCAACCACCCAAUCAAGCAGAGGUGACUUAGUGAUGGGGUGACCGCGUACCUUUUGUAUAAUGGGUCAGCGACUUAAUGUAAGUAGCUAGGUUAACCGCAUAGGGGAGCCGUAGGGAAACCGAGUCUUAACUGGGCGACAGUUGCUUGCAUUAGACCCGAAACCGAGUGAUCUAGCCAUGGGCAGGUUGAAGGUUGAGUAACAUCAACUGGAGGACCGAACUCACUAACGUUGAAAAGUUAGGAGAUGACCUGUGGCUAGGGGUGAAAGGCCAAUCAAACUCGGAGNAGGUUAACCGCAUAGGGGAGCCGUAGGGAAACCGAGUCUUAACUGGGCGACAGUUGCUUGCAUUAGACCCGAAACCGAGUGAUCUAGCCAUGGGCAGGUUGAAGGUUGAGUAACAUCAACUGGAGGACCGAACUCACUAACGUUGAAAAGUUAGGAGAUGACCUGUGGCUAGGGGUGAAAGGCCAAUCAAACUCGGAGAUAGCUGGUUCUCCCCGAAAGCUAUUUAGGUAGCGCCUCGGACGAACACUACUGGGGGUAGAGCACUGUUAAGGCUAGGGGGUCAUCCCGACUUACCAACCCUUUGCAAACUCCGAAUACCAGUAAGUGCUAUCCGGGAGACACACGGCGGGUGCUAACGUCCGUCGUGGAGAGGGAAACAACCCAGACCGCCAGCUAAGGUCCCCAAGUUAUCGCUAAGUGGGAAACGAUGUGGGAAGGCUCAGACAGCCAGGAUGUUGGCUUAGAAGCAGCCAUCAUUUAAAGAAAGCGUAAUAGCUCACUGGUCGAGUCGGCCUGCGCGGAAGAUGUAACGGGGCUAAGCGAUACACCGAAGCUGCGGCAAUGNGGAGAGGGAAACAACCCAGACCGCCAGCUAAGGUCCCCAAGUUAUCGCUAAGUGGGAAACGAUGUGGGAAGGCUCAGACAGCCAGGAUGUUGGCUUAGAAGCAGCCAUCAUUUAAAGAAAGCGUAAUAGCUCACUGGUCGAGUCGGCCUGCGCGGAAGAUGUAACGGGGCUAAGCGAUACACCGAAGCUGCGGCAAUGUCCUUAUGGAUAUUGGGUAGGGGAGCGUUGUGUAAGCUGUUGAAGGUGUGCUGAGAGGCAUGCUGGAGGUAUCACAAGUGCGAAUGCUGACAUGAGUAACGAUAAAGGGGGUGAAAAACCUCCUCGCCGGAAGACCAAGGGUUCCUGUCCAACGUUAAUCGGGGCAGGGUAAGUCGGCCCCUAAGGCGAGGCCGAAAGGCGUAGUCGANUAUUGGGUAGGGGAGCGUUGUGUAAGCUGUUGAAGGUGUGCUGAGAGGCAUGCUGGAGGUAUCACAAGUGCGAAUGCUGACAUGAGUAACGAUAAAGGGGGUGAAAAACCUCCUCGCCGGAAGACCAAGGGUUCCUGUCCAACGUUAAUCGGGGCAGGGUAAGUCGGCCCCUAAGGCGAGGCCGAAAGGCGUAGUCGAUGGGAAACGGGUUAAUAUUCCCGUACUGCUGCUUACUGCGAUGGGGGGACGGAGAAGGCUAGGUGGGCCUGGCGAUGGUUGUCCAGGUUCAAGGGUGUAGGCUGUAAUCUUAGGCAAAUCCGGGAUUACACACGGUCGAGACCCGAUGUCGAGCCACCAAGGUGGUGAAGUCAUUGAUGCCAUGCUUCCGGGAAAAGCCUCUAAGCUUCAGGUAAGUAGCAACCGUACUCCAAACCGACACAGGUGGUCGGGUAGAGAAUACCAAGGCGCUUGAGAGAACUCGGGUGAAGGAACUAGGCAAAAUGGUACCGUAACUUCGGGAGAAGGUACGCUGCCCACGGUGAAGUCCCUUGCGGAUGGAGCUAUGGGCAGUCGCAGAUACCAGGUGGCUGCAACUGUUUAUUAAAAACACAGCACUGUGCAAAAUCGAAAGAUGACGUAUACGGUGUGACGCCUGCCCGGUGCCGGAAGGUUAAUUGAUGUGGUUAUCGCAAGAGAAGCCAUUGAUUGAAGCCCCGGUAAACGGCGGCCGUAACGAAGCGGCGACGCCAGUUGCUGUGGAGCCAUCCUUGAAAUACCACCCUUGUAUGUUUGAUGUUCUAACUUAGCCCCGUUAUCCGGGGUGAGGACAGUGCCUGGUGGGUAGUUUGACUGGGGCGGUCUCCUCCCAAAGCGUAACGGAGGAGCACGAAGGUGGGCUAAUCACGGUCGGACAUCGUGAGGUUAGUGCAAUGGCAUAAGCCCGCUUAACUGCGAGAGUGACGGCUCGAGCAGGUACGAAAGUAGGUCAUAGUGAUCCGGUGGUUCUGAAUGGAAGGGCCAUCGCUCAACGGAUAAAAGGUACUCCGGGGAUAACAGGCUGAUACCGCCCAAGAGUUCAUAUCGACGGCGGUGUUUGGCACCUCGAUGUCGGCUCAUCACAUCCUGGGGCUGAAGUCGGUCCCAAGGGUAUGGCUGUUCGCCAUUUAAAGUGGUACGCGAGCUGGGUUUAGAACGUCGUGAGACAGUUCGGUCCCUAUCUGCCGUGGGCGUUGGAUGAUUGAGGGGAGCUGCUCCUAGUACGAGAGGACCGGAGUGGACGAACCGCUGGUGUUCGGGUUGUGUCGCCAGACGCAUUGCCCGGUAGCUAAGUUCGGCACAGAUAAGCGCUGAAAGCAUCUAAGCGCGAAGCUGGCCCCGAGAUGAGUCAUCCCUAGAGCUUCGAGCUCUCUAAAGGGUUGUCGUAGACGACGACGUUGAUAGGCAGGGUGUGUAAGCGCUGUGAGGCGUUGAGCUAACCUGUACUAAUGGCCCGUGAGGCUUAACCAUACAACACCCAAG
rnacentral:rRNA from 1 species